UGAAGACGGCCUUGGGGUUGUAAAGGUCUGUCUGUCGGGACGGAGACCGCCCCGCAUGGGCGGAGGGGACGGUACCGGCGGAGGAAGGCCCUGCUAACUACGGGCCAGCAGCCGCGGUAAGACGUAGGGGGCAAGCGUUGUCCGGAAUGAGUGGGCGUAAAGGGCGUGUAGGCGGUGCGUCACGUAGCGGUUUUCAGCCCCCCCCUAACCCGGAGGAGGGCGGCUAAACGGGCGCGCUGGAGGGCAGGAGAGGUGCACGGAAUUCCUGGUGGAGCGGUGAAAUGCGUAGAGGUCAGGAAGAACACCCGUGGCGAAGGCGGUGCACUGGCCUGACCCUGACGCUGAGGCGCGACAGCGUGGGGAGCNUACGGGAUUAUAUACCCCGUUAGUNCAAGCUCGUAAAGAAAUNGAUNGUAGUGUAAGGGGNNUCCAAGCCGCGUCGUGACNGGAUNGUCAGGGA
rnacentral:rRNA from 1 species